rnacentral:tRNA from 1 species
CCGCUGCCGGCCGAGCCGGCCGCGGUGGCGGCCUACCUCGCCGCAAUGGCGCCGCUCUACUCCCGCUCGGCGCUGGAGCGGCGGC